rnacentral:rRNA from 1 species
UAGGGAAUCUUCCACAAUGGACGCAAGUCUGAUGGAGCAACGCCGCGUGAGUGAAGAAAGGUCUUCGGAUCGUAAAGCUCUGUUGUUGGUGAAGAAGGAUAGAGGCAGUAACUGGUCUUUAUUUGACGGUAAUCAACCAGAAAGUCACGGCUAACUACGUGCCAGCAGCCGCGGUAAUACGUAGGUGGCAAGCGUUGUCCGGAUUUAUUGGGCGUAAAGCGAGCGCAGGCGGAAUGAUAAGUCNGAUGUGAAAGCCCACGGCUCACCGUGGAACUGCAUCGGAAACUGUCAUUCUUGAGUGCAGAAGAGGAGAGUGGAACUCCAUGUGUAGCGGUGGAAUGCGUAGAUAUAUGGAAGAACACCAGUGGCGAAGGCGGCUCUCUGGUCUGCAAACUGACGCUGAGGCUCGAAAGCAUGGGUAGCGAACAGGAUUAGAUACCCUGGUAGUCCAUGCCGUAAACGAUGAGCGCUGGUGUUG